AUUGAACGCUGGCGGGAUGCCUAACACAUGCAAGUCGAACGAGUGGCGGACGGGUGAGUAAUGUAUCGGAACCUGCCUGAUAGAGGGGGAUAACUACUCGAAACAGUAGCUAAUACCGCAUACCAUCGGAUCUGCCGAUAUGGGAUUAGCUUGUUGGUGGGGUAAAGGCUCACCAAGGCGACGAUCCCUAGCUGGUUUGAGAGGAUGACCAGCCAAACUGGGACUGAGACACGGCCCAGACUCCUACGGGAGGCAGCAGUGGGGAAUAUUGGACAAUGGGCGAAAGCCUGAUGCAGCCAUGCCGCGUGUAUGAAGAAGGCCUUCGGGUUGUAAAGUACUUUCAGCAGGGAGGCGGUACCGGCAGAAGAAGCACCGGCUAACUACGUGCCAGCAGCCGCGGUAAUUC
rnacentral:rRNA from 1 species